CGGUGUAGUGGGGUAUUCAGUUAUUCUACUACUCCUUUGGUCGUUUACUGUGAGAAAAUUAGAGUGUUCAAAGCGGGCGUUUGUUUGAAUAGAUUAGCAUGGAAUAAUGAUUGAAGGCUUUCGUGUUCGAUUUGAUUGGUUUGUUCAUGGAAGCAAGGUUAAAAGGAACAGUUGGGGGUAUUCAUAUUCACUAGUUAGAGGUGAAAUUCUCGGAUUUAUGGAAGAUGAACAGGUGCGAAAGCAUUUACCAAGGAUGUUUUCAUUAAUCAAGAACGAAAGCUAGGGGAUCGAAGAGGAUUAGAUACCCUCGUAGUCUUAGCUAUAAACGAUAC
rnacentral:rRNA from 1 species